UACAAUUUUCUUUGUUAACCCUUCUUAAUAUCCCCUGUCAAAUUGUUUUCAUGCUUUUUACUUACUUAAUACCACAGACAGACGAGGUUUAUCCAGAGACUGGAAAAAAUACUGAUAGUACCUGGAACUGUAGUUGAGAAGCAGCUAUUCAUAACAGAGGUCAUUUUGCCAGAGAAUCUGUGCUUCUAACCACCACACCUUCAAAGAAAAAGAAAGGAGCUGCAAGAAAGGCAGCUGAAGAAACCGAGACCACCGAAGAGGUAA